rnacentral:rRNA from 1 species
UACGUAGGCAGCGAGCGUUGUUCGGAGUUACUGGGCGUAAAGAGUGCGUAGGCGGUGCUCUAAGUUUGGUGUGAAAUCUCCCCGGCUCAACUGGGGAGGGUGCGCCGAAAACUGGAGUGCUCGAGUAUGGGAGAGGUAAGCGGAAUUCCUGGUGUAGCGGUGAAAUGCGUAGAUAUCAGGAGGAACACCUGCGGUGUAGACGGCUUACUGGACCAUGACUGACGCUGAGGCACGAAAGCGUGGGGAGCAAACAGG